GUGAUGAGGUAAACCGCGCCGAUGAGCAGUGAUUUUUUGAACCCACUACUGA
rnacentral:snoRNA from 1 species